rfam:Cavia porcellus supercont2_26 genomic scaffold, whole genome shotgun sequence.
CUUCCAUUUCUUGGUGGAGAUGAGGUGCGCAGUUCUGCUCCCCUGUUAGGUAUGGAGGCAAAAGGGUUUCUGGCCCUCUCAAGGUCCUGUCAGCCAAUUCUGUCCUCUAGUAUUGCAACAGAC